rnacentral:rRNA from 1 species
AUUGAACGCUGGCGGCAGGCCUAACACAUGCAAGUCGGGCGAGAGGCGGACGGGUGAGUAAUGUAUGGGGAUCUGCCUGAUGGCGGGGGAUAACUACUGGAAACGGUAGCUAAUACCGCAUACCAACCGAUGGACCCAUAUGGGAUUAGCUAGUAGGUGGGGUAAAGGCGCACAUAGGCGAAGAUCUCUAGCUGGUCUGAGAGGAAGACCAGCCACCCUGGGACUGAGACACGUCCCAGACUCCUACGGUAGGCAGCAGUGGGGAAUAUUGCACAAUGGGCGCAAGCCUUAUGCAGCCAUGCCGCGUGUAUGAAGAAGGCCUUAGGGUUGUAAAGUACUUUCAGCGGGGAGGCGUUACCCGCAGAAGAAGCACCGGCUAACUCCGUGCCAGCAGCCGCGGUAAUUC